rnacentral:rRNA from 1 species
AACGAACGUUGGCGGCAGGCUUAACACAUGCAAGUCGAACGGAUCCUUCGGGAUUAGUGGCAGACGGGUGAGUAACGCGUGGGAACGUACCCUUUGCUACGGAAUAACUCAGGGAAACUUGAGCUAAUACCGUAUGUGCCCUACGGGGGAAAGAUUUAUCGGCAAAGGAUCGGCCCGCGUUGGAUUAGCUAGUUGGUGGGGUAAUGGCCUACCAAGGCGACGAUCCAUAGCUGGUCUGAGAGGAUGAUCAGCCACACUGGGACUGAGACACGGCCCAGACUCCUACGGGAGGCAGCAGUGGGGAAUAUUGGACAAUGGGCGCAAGCCUGAUCCAGCCAUGCCGCGUGAGUGAUGAAGGUCUUAGGAUUGUAAAGCUCUUUCACCGGUGAAGAUAAUGACGGUAGCCGGAGAAGAAGCCCCGGCUAACUUCGUG